rnacentral:rRNA from 1 species
CCUACUGCGUGCAGCAGUGGGGGAUAUUGGACAAUGGGGUGAACCCUGAUCCAGCGACGCCGCGUGAGUGAAGAAGUAUUUCGGUCUGUAAAGCUCUGUCAGCAGGGAAGAAAGAAAUGACUGUACCUGCCCAAGAAGCCCCGGCUACCUACGUGCCAGCAGCCGCGGUAAUACGUAGGGUGCAAGCGUUAUCCGGAUUUAUUAGGGUUAAAGGGUGCGCAGGCGGAAGUUCAAGUCAGCGGUAAAAUUGAGAGGCGCAACCUGUUCGAGCCGUUGAAACUGGUGUUAUUGAGUGAGCGAGAAGUAUGCGGAAUGCGUGGUGUAGCGGUGAAAUGCAUAGAUAUCACGCAGAACUACGAUUGAGAAGGCAGCAUACCGGCGCUCAACUGACGCUCAUGCACGAAAGUGUGGGUAUCGAACAGGAUUAGAUACCCGGGUAGU